GUGCCAGCAGCCGCGGUAAUACGUAGGGGGCGAGCGUUGUCCGGAGUUACUGGGCGUAAAGGGCAUGCAGGCGGUCCGACACGUUUUGUGUGACAGCGGGUGGCUUAACUACCCGAGGAUACGAAAGACGGUAGGACUUGAGGACUCGAGAGGGACACGGAAUUCCGGGUGGAGUGGUGAAAUGCGUAGAGAUCCGGAGGAACACCGAAGGCGAAGGCAGUGUCCUGGCGAGUGACUGACGCUGAGGUGCGAAAGCCAGGGGAGCGAACGGGAUUAGAUACCCCGGUAGUCC
rnacentral:rRNA from 1 species